AAUCUUGAGGAAGACGUCAGUCU
rnacentral:siRNA from 1 species